GGGCCAUGUCUGGAUGGACAAGUGGUGAGGCCGGGUGGAGGCACUUCUGUGCUCAGUAAAUCCUGCCCAUGGUAAGAUAUACAGCCUUAGAGGUGAAUUCAAACUGUUUGGAUUGUAGCAUGUUUGGAAUCAAAGGUUUACACUUUAGUAGCCCUCCACCCUGACCCCCCUAAUGAGGAUGACCCCUCAGAACUGGUUCCUAGAGUGAUACAAUUUUCACUUCAUUCAGUCGUGGAAGAGAUGGGAUCUGUCCUGUUUAUAGUCCUGGUAUCCUCGCUCGACCCAGUAUGAGGGGACAGCUAAGGUAAACAGUGGAAUGCCAUUUCCCAGAAGGAAAGAGCCCACUGCACACACACAGACACCCCAUCGGCUGUUAACUCCAAACACAAGCCACUUCUCUAUGUACUUCCAAAACAGGAAAAGCAGAACUAGAUUUUUUUUUUUUCCGGAGCUGGGGACCGAACCCAGGGCCUUGCGCUUCCUAGGCAAGCGCUCUACCACUGAGCUAAAUCCCCAACCCCCAGAACUAGAUUUUUAAAAUAUCCCUGUGAGUUAGGGAAAUUAUUUCUUCAAUACAAACAUUUUUAAAAUUUAAAA
rnacentral:lncRNA from 1 species